CCGCGUGUGUGAAGAAGGCCUUUUGGUUGUAAAGCACUUUAAGCGAGGAGGAGGCUACUUGGAUUAAUACUCUAGGAUAGUGGACGUUACUCGCAGAAUAAGCACCGGCUAACUCUGUGCCAGCAGCCGCGGUAAUACAGAGGGUGCGAGCGUUAAUCGGAUUUACUGGGCGUAAAGCGUGCGUAGGCGGCUUUUUAAGUCGGAUGUGAAAUCCCUGAGCUUAACUUAGGAAUUGCAUUCGAUACUGGGAAGCUAGAGUAUGGGAGAGGAUGGUAGAAUUCCAGGUGUAGCGGUGAAAUGCGUAGAGAUCUGGAGGAAUACCGAUGGCGAAGGCAGCCAUCUGGCCUAAUACUGACGCUGAGGUACGAAAGCAUGGGGAGCAAACAGGAUUAGAUACCCUGGUAGUCCAUGCCGUAAACGAUGUCUACUAGCCGUUGGGGCCUUUGAGGCUUUAGUGGCGCAGCUAACGCGAUAAGUAGACCGCCUGGGGAGUACGGUCGCAAGACUAAAACUCAAAUGAAUUGACGGGGGCCCGCACAAGCGGUGGAGCAUGUGGUUUAAUUCGAUGCAACGCGAAGAACCUUACCUGGUCUUGACAUAGUAAGAACUUUCCAGAGAUGGAUUGGUGCCUUCGGGAACUUACAUACAGGUGCUGCAUGGCUGUCGUCAGCUCGUGUCGUGAGAUGUUGGGUUAAGUCCCGCAACGAGCGCAACCCUUUUCCUUAUUUGCCAGCGGGUUAAGCCGGGAACUUUAAGGAUACUGCCAGUGACAAACUGGAGGAAGGCGGGGACGACGUCAAGUCAUCAUGGCCCUUACGACCAGGGCUACACACGUGCUACAAUGGUCGGUACAAAGGGUUGCUACCUAGCGAUAGGAUGCUAAUCUCAAAAAGCCGAU
rnacentral:rRNA from 1 species